GCAUCGGAGUACUCCUACGGGAACAAGAAAGAUGGAAGACCUCAUACGACAUGCUAAGAUCAUUAUUAAAGACUCUUGAGCAAAGAUCAAGCAGAUUGUGGCAAGCUGUCAUGCAUGCCAGCUAACCAACGCCACCACCCAUGGGUCUAACCCCAGAACCCAACUCAGGGGAGACUGCCGAGGAACAUACUGGGAAGUAGAUUUCACUGAGGUAAGGCCUGGAAAGUAUGGGUACAAGUACUUGCUAGUUUUCGUAGAUACCUUUUCAGGGUGGACAGAGGCAUUCCCCACCAAGCACAAAACAGUGCAAACCGUGAUCAAAAAGCUGCUGGAGGACAUUCUGCCAAGGUAUGGAUUUCCUGCCAGGAUCGGAUCUGACAGUGGACCGGGGUUCAUUCCUAAGAGCCCAUGAGCGGGUGUGGCCUAAGCUGAGGGCCCUCUACGAGACCGGGCCGCCUCCUGACCCCCAUCAGAAUUGACCAGGCGAUUGGGUGUACGUGCGGAGGCACCAACAGCAGACGCUCCAACCUUGCUGGAAAAGACCCUAUAUUGUGAUCCUGACCACGCCCACCACUCUCAAGGUCAACGGAAUAACUCCCUGGGUCCACUACACCCACGUCCGGCCAGCUGAUCCACACGCUGUCCUCAAGGACUUUGUUCCGGAAUGGAAGAGUCAGCCCGACAAGGACAAUCCCUUAAAGCUAAGGCUGCGUCGCUCCCACUUACCCCGCUAAUAUUACUUGCGCUGUAUCCCCUCGCGGCUAAACCCAACCCCAAACCACUUAAUCUAACCUGGCAAAUCAUCACCCCAAGCUCUAAUCAGGUAGUAACCCAGCUGUCCGAGCUACACCCUAGAGGGACCUGGUGGCCUAAUCUGACUAUUGACUUGUGUGAACUAUUCAGUCAGGACCCCUGGCACCAAGGCAGAAUAGGAAUACCAGGAUGUGGCACCGAGAGGGCCAAGAUGGCCCUCCAAGAUACCUGUUUUUAUGUGUGUCCGGCCCCCUCUCAGUCUGACCAUAAUAAGGCCUCCAAAUGCGGUGGCUGGACAGACUACUUCUGCAAAACAUGGGGUUGCGAACAAACUGGGACAUGCAAUUGGCUGUCACAAAACCCAUCCGGCCUCAUAAAAAUGCAACUGAAUACUACGCA